rnacentral:misc_RNA from 1 species
GAGACUGGGUGCUUCGGCGCCCGACCUCCAACCCCCUGUCUACCUUACCACUGUUGCCUCGGCGUUUCUGCCCACUCCUCCUCGCAGGGGGGUGGGUUGUGCGCCGGCGGCCAAAAACAAAAACCCUUUUUCAAACCAAGCAAUCUGAGAAAUUAUUUUAAUAACUUCAAAACUUUCAACAACGGAUCUCUUGGUUCU